CACACCCAUGGCUCAGACAAGUGUGAACAGAGACAGCUGAGAAUGCUAACGGUCACGCUUGCCAAGAUGCUCUGCGAUAACUGUGAUAAUGUGGAGAGUGAGCAGCGGUCCGUCUUUGACCUUCCUGACCCCUUCCUGAACCCUCGUGUGUCCCACCUUGACCUGCCGGGGAUCAACCCGGAGCUGUGGAAGGCGCGUGUCAUGUGGGGUCAGCAAGACUGAUAUUGACAUCAGG